UACGUAGGGCGCAAGCGUUAUCCGGAAUUAUUGGGCGUAAAGAGCUCGUAGGCGGUUUGUCGCGUCUGCCGUGAAAGUCCGGGGCUCAACUCCGGAUCUGCGGUGGGUACGGGCAGACUAGAGUGAUGUAGGGGGAGACUGGAAUUCCUGGUGUAGCGGUGGAAUGCGCAGAUAUCAGGAGGAACACCGAUGGCGAAGGCAGGUCUCUGGGCAGUUACUGACGCUGAGGAGCGAAAGCAUGGGGAGCGAACAGG
rnacentral:rRNA from 1 species